UGCAGUCGAGCGAACAGACGAGGAGCUUGCUCCUCUGACGUUAGCGGCGGACGGGUGAGUAACACGUGGAUAACCUACCUAUAAGACUGGGAUAACUUCGGGAAACCGGAGCUAAUACCGGAUAAUAUAUUGAACCGCAKGGUUCAAUAGUGAAAGACGGUUUUGCUGUCACUUAUAGAUGGAUCCGCGCCGCAUUAGCUAGUUGGUAAGGUAACGGCUUACCAAGGCAACGAUGCGUAGCCGACCUGAGAGGGUGAUCGGCCACACUGGAACUGAGACACGGUCCAGACUCCUACGGGAGGCAGCAGUAGGGAAUCUUCCGCAAUGGGCGAAAGCCUGACGGAGCAACGCCGCGUGAGUGAUGAAGGUCUUCGGAUCGUAAAACUCUGUUAUUAGGGAAGAACAAAUGUGUAAGUAACUAUGCACGUCUUGACGGUACCUAAUCARAAAGCCACGGCUAACUACGUGCCAGCAGCCGCGGUAAUACGUAGGUGGCAAGCGUUAUCCGGAAUUAUUGGGCGUAAAGCGCGCGUAGGCGGUUUUUUAAGUCUGAUGUGAAAGCCCACGGCUCAACCGUGGAGGGUCAUUGGAAACUGGAAAACUUGAGUGCAGAAGAGGAAAGUGGAAUUCCAUGUGUAGCGGUGAAAUGCGCAGAGAUAUGGAGGAACACCAGUGGCGAAGGCGACUUUCUGGUCUGUAACUGACGCUGAUGUGCGAAAGCGUGGGGAUCAAACAGGAUUAGAUACCCUGGUAGUCCACGCCGUAAACGAUGAGUGCUAAGUGUUAGGGGGUUUCCGCCCCUUAGUGCUGCAGCUAACGCAUUAAGCACUCCGCCKGGGGAGUACGACCGCAAGGUUGAAACUCARAGGAUUGACG
rnacentral:rRNA from 1 species